UAAGCAAAUAUGAAAGUGUAAAGGCUCAACCUUACGACUGUGUUUUGAACUGAAGAACUAGAGGAUGGUAGGGGAAGUUGGAAUUCCUGGUGUAGGAGUGAAAUCCGUAGAUAUCAGGAGGAACACCAAUGGCGAAGGCAGACUUCUGGGCCAUUCCUGACACUGAGGCUCGAAAGCGUGGGGAGCGAACCGGAUUAGAUACCCGGGUAGUCCACGCCGUAAACGAUGGAUGCUA
rnacentral:rRNA from 1 species